CUGACGAAGUAGGAAGGACUGGAAAUUGCAGCACUUUCCAGCAAUGCUUUUUCCAUUGUGGCAAUGCCCAGGCACUGAUUUUUGGGUUCUCACCUUGGUGCUCUUCUUUCCUUCUGACAGAACUGCAACUGUCACAUGUGCUGGGGCACAGAUAGACAAGUGAAAAAUCGAAGAGGAAGGUUUUGAAGAGAGAAGAGGCAUCACCUGGGUUCUGAAUACAGAAAGAACAGCAGAGGGAGCCCCUGCAUGGCUUAAAUCGUUGGUCUUGAAGAAAAUGGAGCAAGCG